rnacentral:other from 1 species
UUUACCCUGCCCUGUUCGUGAUUCGCAGCCAAGUCCUUGAACCGUAAAUUAUACGAUACCGGUGUCAACCGCGAUGGUGGCCGACAGGCCUUAACUGGAAGUCGAAAUCCGUCCGGACGGCGCCACAUGUUCUAACCAACAUGUUCAUCGGAUCCGUUGCACACGGCAAUGGUGGGGUCACU